rnacentral:SRP_RNA from 1 species
GCUGGGUUUGGCAGCGCUUGCAUGUAGUCCCAGCUACUUGGGAGGCUAAGGUGGGAGGAUCGCUUGAGCCCAGGAGUUCUGGGCUGUGGUGCGCUCUGCCGAUAGGGUGUCCGCACUAAGUUCAGCAUCAAUAUGGUGACCUUCCGGGAGCCGGGGACCACCAGGUUGCCUAAGGAGGGGUGAACCGGCCCAGGUCGGACACGGAGCAGGUCAAAACUCCUGUGCUGAUCAGAAGUGGGAUCGUGCCUGUGAAUAGUCACUGCACUCCAGCCUGGGCAACAUAGGGAGACCCUGUCUCU